GGAGAGAUGGCCGAGUGGUUUAAGGCGCAGUCCUGGAAAGACUGUUUACUCGAAAGGGUAGCUAGGGUUCGAAUCCCUAUCUCUCCG
rnacentral:tRNA from 1 species